UACGAAGGGUGCAAGCGUUACUCGGAAUUACUGGGCGUAAAGCGUGCGUAGGUGGUUGUUUAAGUCUGCUGUGAAAGCCCUGGGCUCAACCUGGGAAUUGCAGUGGAUACUGGGCGACUAGAGUGUGGUAGAGGAUAGUGGAAUUUCCGGUGUAGCAGUGAAAUGCGUAGAGAUCGGAAGGAACAUCUGUGGCGAAGGCGACUAUCUGGGCCAACACUGACACUGAGCACGAAAGCGUGGGGAGCAAACAGG
rnacentral:rRNA from 1 species